GAGCCUGUUUCCGAUUCUGUGUCUCCCUCUCUCUCUGCCCCUCCCCCGUUCAUGCUCUGUCUCUCUCUGUCCCAAAAAAAAUAAAUAAACGUUGAAAAAAAAUUAAAAAAAAAAAAAAACAGUUCAAAUGCUAGACAAAUACAGGCUGGGAGCCCAAUCUGGAUUCUGGAAAAUCCAAACAGGCCUUCUGUCAUGUCACUAAGAAGAGAGCGUUGUGAGCCAUCCUCCGUAAGUGCAGAGAGUUUCAUUUUCUCUAUACAAAGUUGCCAGUGCCUUGUUUAAGAUGGUGAUUUGUCCUCCCAUCUGGAUAUUGUUGGUUCCAAUUCAAAGCAGAGGACUGACUGGCUACACUCUGAAGAAAAUCAUUCUUACCUGUCUCUUUGAACUCAGGAAUAGAAAAUGACCAAGGAGCACAUCCUAGUCGGGUGUCAUGUCUGCCCCCACUGGGUAGGGCAUGUAGCACCGGAACAGGUGCAGAAGUGUGCUCAGAGUUCAAGUUAAUCUGGUCUCAGCCUUCCAGAAACUGACAUCACCUUAAUUUUACAUCUUCCGUGAAAACACCUUAGUGUUUGGUCUGCAGUGGGGAUGCCGAUGUGGUGUCUAUAGAAGUUAGAGUUUUUGUUACUGACCCCUUUCAGGCAAGUCCAAGGUACAGGAAAAUCAGGCUCGUGGCAGCUGGCACAGAUACCGUGAGUGGAGUGAGAACCACCUAGAACAUUGUGUGUGUGUGUGUGUUUUAAGGCAAUUUCAAAACUGCUUCACAAGUUCACAAAGUUGUCACCCUUAAUUUGGGUUAAGAAAGUUAACAGUGUUUUCUCUGCUGAAGGUGUUUUCUCUUAUACCAUGACUGCUGGCCAAAAUCAAACUUUAACUUCUGCACUUUGAAGGAAAGCACAGUGUGAACCUUCAACCCAGGCACCUACAGUCACCACUGAGACUCUACAUCAUCUGCAAAGAAAAUGCACAAACUUGCUCCCUUGUAGGAUUCUUCAAAAGCGUAUAACGAAGCUUGCGUGUUACGCCCCUUGAUGUGACUUUUGAAGACGUUAUGAAAUGUUAAAUGCCUCAUUCUGUGUGAAUUUGCUGUUGCUGUUUUGCGAUACAAAAUAAACUUCCUUGGGAUUGUUUUGCUUUUUUUCACUGAACCUUCUCCAACCAAAGCCAACUUCAGCCCUUGGUAAACUUGCAGAUAGUUACUGACCUUAAAAUUAGUUUUUAAAAGACCAUAUGUAUGAAUCAUAACGGAACUUUGUAGAUGAGACAGUGUUGCCUUUCCCUUCCCUUGAAUGAGAAAACAGAGUUUUUGAUUGCCCAGUUGGAAUCCUCAUGGAUUGCAGAUCUGUCUUCACUUUCUUGGGUGCCACCUCCCCCCUUUUUUUUACUUUCUCUUAUACACAUCUGAAGCU